UGCAAGACUUCGAGAUCCUGAGCGGAGAGUAAAACAGUUUACACUCCUUCACAGCCAUUAAACUGAGUGUGCUGUUAUGGCCAGUUUUCAGACCAGUAUUCUUCGUCUUCAUCUCUGUGUUGUAAUUAUUCUUCUGACUCAUGCAGAUUAUUCAAAAUCUAAUCAAGAGCAAAAGAUUCGGCAGCACAUCAACAAAACAGUGUUUGCAGGGGAAACAGUUACACUUCACUGCAACAAAACCAAAUUAGAUGAUGAUUUCACAUGGAAAAUGAACAGCUUCGUGAUUUUUAGGCAGGACCCUGAAAAAAACAGAACAAUGAGAAACUUCAGCUCAAACAGGAUUCACAUCGACCCAGCAGCUCCAAGAGAGUUAUCAAUACAUCAAAUACAAGCGUCUGAUGCAGGAAACUACAGCUGUUACCCAGCAGCAAUAAGAUGGACAUUAACAAUAACAGAAAAUCAGAUCAGACCAGAAUCACUCAAACAAAUGCCGUUGUACAUCAUCAUCAUUUCAUGUUCUGGAGUCGUUAUGAUCUGUUUAAUUAUCACAAGCAGCAUCUGCAUUCACAGGUGAGAGACUUU